AAAAAAAAAAUUCUUCUUCCUCUUCCAUGGAUUCUAAAACCCCUUUCAUUGCACUUGCACCACUCCUUGUCAAUAAGGAAGACUAUCAUGUCUAGGCAGCAAGGAUGGAGGCUCAUUUGGAGGUAAAUGAUCUCUAAAAAGCUGUUGAGGAGAACUACGAAGUUCCUCCCUUUCCUGAAAAUCCAACCACGACAUAGUUAAAGAACCACAAGUAAAAGAAAAACAAGAAAGUCCAAGGCUAGAGCUAUGUUAUUUACUAUAGUCUCAUAAAAAAUCUUUGCCAGAAUUAUGACAAAGAAGUCAACAUUUGAGG
rnacentral:lncRNA from 1 species